AUCGACAACCCACGUUAANUUUAACUUUAUUUCAAAAUUUAUAUACCGCCAUCUUAAGAAUUAAUUAAUAAAUAUUAUUCUAAAAAAUAAAUAGAAAGUUAGGUCAAGGUAUAAUUUACAUUAAAGAAUCAGAUGAAUUACAUUAAAUAUAAUUUAAAGACCAUAUAUAAAUAUAUUUAUGCAAAUAAGAAUUUAAAAGUAAUAUUAAAAUAAUAUUUCAAUAUGAUAUUGAUAAAAAAUGUGCACACAUCGCCC
rnacentral:rRNA from 1 species